GAGUUUGAUCUUGGCUCAGAUUGAACGCUGGCGGCAUGCCUUACACAUGCAAGUCGAACGGUAACAGGUCUUCGGAUGCUGACGAGUGGCGAACGGGUGAGUAAUACAUCGGAACGUGCCCGAUCGUGGGGGAUAACGGAGCGAAAGCUUUGCUAAUACCGCAUACGAUCUACGGAUGAAAGCAGGGGACCGCAAGGCCUUGCGCGGACGGAGCGGCCGAUGGCAGAUUAGGUAGUUGGUGGGAUAAAAGCUUACCAAGCCGACGAUCUGUAGCUGGUCUGAGAGGACGACCAGCCACACUGGGACUGAGACACGGCCCAGACUCCUACGGGAGGCAGCAGUGGGGAAUUUUGGACAAUGGCGAAAGCCUGAUCCAGCCAUGCCGCGUGCAGGAUGAAGGCCUUCGGUU
rnacentral:rRNA from 1 species